rnacentral:rRNA from 1 species
AACGAACGCUGGCGGCAUGCCUAACACAUGCAAGUCGAACGAGACCUUCUGGUCUAUUGGCGCACGGGUUCUUAACGCGUGGUAACCUUCCUUUAGGUUCGGAAUAACUCAGAGUAAUUUGAGCUAAUACCGGUUGAUGUCUUCGGACCUAAGAUUUAUCGCCUUUUGAUGGGCCCUCGUUGGAUUCUCUUGUUGGUUGGGUAAAGGCCUACCAAGGCGACGAUCCAUAGCUGGUCUGAGAGGAUGAUCAGCCACACUGGGAAUGAGACACGGCCCAGACUACUACGGGAGGGAGCAGAGGGGAAUAUUGGAAAAUGGGGGAAAGACUGAUAAAGCAAUGACGCGUGAGUGAGGAAGGGCUUAGGGUAGUAAAGCUGUUUUAACCGAGAUGAUAAUGACAGUAACGGGAGAAGAAGCAACGGCUAACUACGUG